CCCUUAGAUGUCCGGGGCUGCACGCGCGCUACACUGAAGGAAUCAGCGUGCUAAAACCAUUGUCGAUAGGCAUUGGUAAACCCAUUAAAAUCCUACGUGAUUGGGAUCGGGAAUUGCAAUUAUUUCCCUUGAACGAGGAAUUCCCAGUAAGUGUGGGUCAUAAGCUCGCGUUGAUUACGUCCCUGCCCUUUGUACACACCGCCCGUCGCUGCCCGGGACUGAGCCGUUUCGAGAAAAGCGGGGACUGCUGCUGUCGGGGCUUUCGGGCCUUGGCUUCGGUGGAAACCGCUUUAAUCGCAGUGGCUUGAACCGGGCAAAAGUCGUAACA
rnacentral:rRNA from 1 species